UGUUCUGCGCCUUGGAGCAUGAUGGAAGCCUCUAGGAGUAAGACCUCCUGCUACUCCUCACCACAUGGUUCAAUCCUCUCUACGUGAGAAGAAGGACCAUUGGAGUUUCAGGAUGACCCCAAUACUGAGCUCCUACUUUCAUUCUAAAACACUAAGAAUCUAAUCGAGAGAUUCUACACAGAUGGAACUUAAUUUACCACUUGGAUCGUACUUUUAUCAUUUUGUAAUCAUAUACUUUUUUCCACAAUCUCAACAAUAUACAUUACAC
rnacentral:lncRNA from 1 species